GGGUGCCGCGCUUCGAAAGGUCGAGCGGGCAGGACGAGCGCCGGUCGGGCCGCCGGCG
rnacentral:ncRNA from 1 species